GUCCCUUUGGAACAUCCGAUAAAAUUAGAACGGUACAGAGAAGAUUAGCAUGGCCCUGCGCAAGGAUGACACACACAAAUCGCGAAAUGGUUCAAAGUUUU
rfam:Brassica napus, WGS project CCCW01000000 data, contig: 18508